GAGGAUGAGAACCUCCGGGGGCAAGAGGUUCGACUCGAGCGAAGCGAGAGAACGUUGCGCCAGCAACGGCCCGCAGGGCGAGCCACCCUC
rnacentral:sRNA from 2 species